rnacentral:rRNA from 1 species
UACGAAGGGGGCUAGCGUUGCUCGGAAUUAUUGGGCGUAAAGCGCACGUAGGCGGCUUGGCAAGUCGGAUGUGAAAUCCCUCGGCUCAACCAAGGAAGUGCAUCCGAAACUGCUGAGCUUGAGUACUUAAGAGGAUCGCGGAAUUCCAGGUGUAGCGGUGAAAUGCGUAGAUAUCUGGAGGAACACCGGUGGCGAAGGCGGCAUCCUGGACCAACACUGACACUGAGGAGCGAAAGCCAGGGGAGCAAACAGGG